CCGCCGGAAAGAGUUGAACGCCUUCUUGGUGGCAGAUGAGGCCUCUACCAACUGCUCUUUCACAUCUUCUGUCAUCGUUACAGCUGAAUCUCGGGCUGCAGCAAAGUUGUGAAAUAAAAAGUCAUCAUUUAGAGAUGCUGUGCAGCUGUGAGUCUUCAAAAAUACAGCCAGUAGUGUGGGAUGACAGGAGCUUUGGUGACUCAUCAUUGACGCAGUGCAUGUUGGACGACUUUCCAUACCACAAACAAUAUUUAUGGACGAUUCAAGGCCAGCUGGCAGCACAAUCCAUACGACAUCCUUACAUCACUGCCUUCCAGCAGGGGGCUGAGGUCAGCGCCCCUCUGUUACAGCCCUGACAUCACAAGCAAGGGUACGCGCAGACUCGCAUAAAAUGUCUUAUAUUGGCUUCACUGGUUGAGGGAGUGAUGUAAUGUUUUACUGUUUGUGUACGGAUGUAAAAGUGCAAACAAUUCUCAAAACAAUAAGCGACAAACUCUGCAUAUUGACAUUAAGUAAAAGGUGCUUUUUACAGAGCAUUAGUGUAGAUGUUUUCAAAAAUCAUGGACAUUAUAAGCCCCUGUUCAUCCUUUUAAUUAUAACAUAACAACAUAUUUUGGGUUUUUUCAUUAAAAUUUGGAAAUGAUUUGUCACUCACUUGUUUUUUUACAUCACAAAAACCUGGCCCAUAAACACAGACGUGUAAACUUUUGAGAUCCAAAAACUCGAAUUGAUGAACCAAACGCACAAUGACUCAAGAAUUAUCACCAACUGAAAAGAGGAUGUUGGUGCUUCGGUUCGGUGUCAUUUCUGAACAUUUUAAAGGCCAAACAACUGUG